UACGUAGGGGGCAAGCGUUGUCCGGAUUUAUUGGGCGUAAAGAGCGUGUAGGCGGCCAGGUAGGUCCGUUGUGAAAACUCGAGGCUCAACCUCGAGACGUCGGCGGAAACCCUCUGGCUAGAGUCCGGAAGAGGGGAGUGGAAUUCCUGGUGUAGCGGUGAAAUGCGUAGAUAUCGGAAGGAACACCAGUGGCGAAAGCGGCUUCCUGGUCCAGCACCGACGUUCAGGCACGAAAGCGUGGGGAGCAGACAGG
rnacentral:rRNA from 1 species